AGAUGUGGCUCAGUGAUAGAGCACUUGCCUAGCAUGCAUGAGGUACUGGGUUCAAUCCCCACCACUG
rnacentral:tRNA from 1 species